UCUCGUCCCCGUUGCAUACACAUUUUCUCGUCUUGUCUCCGUUGUAUUUGUCUGGUUGCCGUCUUGUGUCCGUCGUAUUUCCCCGUCGUUCGUCUUUGUCUCCCGUCCUGUUCAGGCCUUGUUGUACUUUGCACAGGCACCUUUUUAGUAUCCCUCACCCCACUUUUUCCCCUCUUUUCUCCACGUCCCCAUAAUAUAUUCUCUUGUCCGUUUUGUUGGAGAGCAGUUCUCCAGUCCCCUUACUGAAAGCAAGUUAGAGAAAACGCUCUCUCUCCCAGUGUGCACGAGUCUUUUGUUGUUGUGUGGAGUGGCGAGGAGAGCCGCAGUUCGUCGGAUUAAACUGACGACAUUUGGCGCCCAACCAAUCGUAUCCACGACCCUGAAGCUCGUCGACGUGUCGCCGUCAGCUCGUAUUCUUCUUCUCCUCGCCGUACCUCCGUAUCGAUGACGUACUACGAACGACCAGGCCCCGCAUUGGCGCGCCUCCUCAGCAUUCACCGGCGGAGGCCCAUCUCUGCACUCCACCUGCCGCUCCACUGCCCUCCCCUCCGUCUAUUCCGGUCGAGUCCUCGGAUGCCCUCCCGGUGGGUGCUGUCACGGCCGUCACCGAUGCGGUACCCUUCUACAUCCACCGUGCUGGCACCAGUCUCUUCGCGCCCGCGUGGUAUGCAUCUAGGGCAGUUCCUACCGGUGGAGGACCCUA